GUAAGCAUAUCAAUAAGCGGAGGAAAAGAAACCAACAGGGAUUGCCCUAGUAACGGCGAGUGAAGCGGCAACAGCUCAAAUUUGAAAUCUGGCGCAAGCCCGAGUUGUAAUUUGUAGAGGAUGCUUCUGGGUAGCGACCGAUCUAAGUUCCUUGGAACAGGACGUCAUAGAGGGUGAGAAUCCCGUAUGUGACCGGCCCGCACCCUUUACGUAGCUCCUUCGACGAGUCGAGUUGUUUGGGAAUGCAGCUCUAAAUGGGAGGUAAAUUUCUUCUAAAGCUAAAUACCGGCCAGAGACCGAUAGCGCACAAGUAGAGUGAUCGAAAGAUGAAAAGUACUUUGGAAAGAGAGUUAAAAAGCACGUGAAAUUGUUGAAAGGGAAGCGCCUGCAACCAGACUUCGCGGCAGUGUUCCGCCGGUCUUCUGACCGGUUCAUUCUCUGUCGCGAGGCCAUCAUCGUCUGGGCCCGCCGGAUAAGACCUUAGGAAUGUAGCUCACCUUCGGGGGAGUGUUAUAGCCUAGGGUGAUGCGGCGAGGCUCGGGCGAGGUCCGCGCUUCGGCAAGGAUGAUGGCGUAAUGGUUGUCGGCGGCCCGUCUUGAAACACGGACCAAGGAGUCUAACAUCUAUGCGAGUGUUCGGGUGUCAAACCCCUACGCGUAAUGAAAGUGAACGGAGGUGGGAACCGCAAGGUGCACCAUCGACCGAUCCUGAUGUCCUCGGAUGGAUUUGAGUAAGAGCAUAGCUGUUGGGACCCGAAAGAUGGUGAACUAUGCCUGAAUAGGGUGAAGCCAGAGGAAACUCUGGUGGAGGCUCGCAGCGGUUCUGACGUGCAAAUCGAUCGUCAAAUUUGGGUAUAGGGGCGAAAGACUAAUCGAACCAUCUAGUAGCUGGUUCCUGCCGAAGU
rnacentral:rRNA from 1 species